UCUGGUGGCGAUAGCGAAGAGGUCACACCCGUUCCCAUCUCGAACACGGCAGUUAAGCUCUUCAGCGCCGAUGGUAGUUGGGGGAUUCCCCCUGCAAGAGUAGGACGUUGCCAGGC
rnacentral:rRNA from 1 species